rnacentral:rRNA from 1 species
UACGUAGGGGCUAGCGUUGCUCGGAAUUACUGGGCGUAAAGCGCACGUAGGCGGCUUUCUAAGUCGGGGGUGAAAUCCUGGAGCUCAACUCCAGAACUGCCUUCGAUACUGGAAAGCUCGAGUCCGGGAGAGGUGAGUGGAACUGCGAGUGUAGAGGUGAAAUUCGUAGAUAUUCGCAAGAACACCAGUGGCGAAGGCGGCUCACUGGCCCGGUACUGACGCUGAGGUGCGAAAGCGUGGGGAGCAAACAGG